GACGAACGCUGGCGGCGUGCUUAACACAUGCAAGUCGAACGGAAAGGCCCUGCUUUUGUGGGGUGCUCGAGUGGCGAACGGGUGAGUAACACGUGAGUAACCUGCCCUUGACUUUGGGAUAACUUCAGGAAACUGGGGCUAAUACCGGAUAGGAGCUCCUGCUGCAUGGUGGGGGUUGGAAAGUUUCGGCGGGUGGGGAUGGACUCGCGGCUUAUCAGCUUGUUGGUGGGGUAGUGGCUUACCAAGGCUUUGACGGGUAGCCGGCCUGAGAGGGUGACCGGCCACAUUGGGACUGAGAUACGGCCCAGACUCCUACGGGAGGCAGCAGUGGGGAAUAUUGCACAAUGGGCGGAAGCCUGAUGCAGCAACGCCGCGUGCGGGAUGACGGCCUUCGGGUUGUAAACCGCUUUCGCCUGUGACGAAGCGUGAGUGACGGUACUGGGUAAAGAAGCACCGGCUAACUACGUG
rnacentral:rRNA from 1 species